CCUGCACCUGCCGGCGACCGGCGCACGGGUGAGUAACACGUAUGGAACCUGCCCGCCACAGGGGGAUAACCCGGGGAAACCCGGCCUAAUACCCCAUGCCGCCCGGACCGGGCAUCCGGUCCGGGCGAAAGGAGGAAUCCGGUGGCGGCUGGGCAUGCGGCGCAUUAGCUUGACGGCGGGGUAACGGCCCACCGUGGCGACGAUGCGUAGGGGUCCUGAGAGGAAGGCCCCCCACACUGGAACUGAGACACGGUCCAGACUCCUACGGGAGGCAGCAG
rnacentral:rRNA from 1 species